CCGAAAGUGGACUGAUUUAAUUGCCUUGUACACAUAAGGCUGGAUUGCAACCACGUAAAAAAGUGCUAAAACCAACGCU
rfam:Mucilaginibacter lappiensis strain ATCC BAA-1855 genome assembly, contig: Ga0104715_112